GAUGAACGCUGACAGAAUGCUUAACACAUGCAAGUCCACUUGAAUUUGGGUUUUUAACUUAGGUUUGGGUGGCGGACGGGUGAGUAACGCGUAAAGAACUUGCCUCACAGCUAGGGACAACAUUUGGAAACGAAUGCUAAUACCUAAUAUUAUGAUAAUAGGGCAUCCUAUAAUUAUGAAAGCUAUAAGCGCUGUGAGAGAGCUUUGCGUCCCAUUAGCUAGUUGGAGAGGUAACGGCUCACCAAGGCGAUGAUGGGUAGCCGGCCUGAGAGGGUGAUCGGCCACAAGGGGAAGGAGACACGGCCCUUACUCCUACGGGAGGCAGCAGUGGGGAAUAUUGGACAAUGGACCGAGAGUCUGAUCCAGCAAUUCUGUGUGCACGAUGAAGUUUUUCGGAAUGUAAAGUGCUUUCAGUUGGGAAGAAACAAAUGACGGUACCAACAGAAGAAGUGACGGCUAAAUACGUG
rnacentral:rRNA from 1 species